AUGCCCUUGCAACCAGAAAAAGCUGGCAAACUGAAAAUCAUUGUCUUUUCUUACACCUGUCGGAGAACUGAGGUCACAAAGAAAACUGCCACCGUGAAACCCGGAAAGGCAGGUGAAUCCAGAGGACCUGCUUAUACGGAAUGGAAGCUGGUGGAGCCCGUUAACAGAACCUGCUCAAGUUCCAUUCCCUCUGGAAGGUCCUCCCUGGUCUCCACCCCAUGUGACUUUCCAAGCAGCUCAGGUCUCGCUUCUGAUGCCAAUUUGCAAAACAGCCAAGACACUCUAAAGACGGAAACCAGCCAUUCAUUCACUUUUCAACCUAACUCAUAAAAAGGGAGAUGUAUGUAUUGGAAACAACAGAUACAAAAAUAAAGAUGUCUCUACUCAGAAAAGUGUGGUCUAA
rnacentral:lncRNA from 1 species